rnacentral:rRNA from 1 species
CCAAUAGCGUAUAUUAAAGUUGUUGCAGUUAAAAAGCUCGUAGUUGAACUUCGGGAUUUGCCCAUUGGUCAGGCUUAACUGUCUGCACUGGUGUGACGAGUUCCUACCUUCUGAGGAAUCUCCAUGUCAUUCAGUUGGUGUGGGGGGAAAUCAGGACUGUUACUUUGAAAAAAUUAGAGUGUUUAAAGCAGGCGUCCGUCUGAAUACAUUAGCAUGGAAUAAUAAAAUAGGACGGUUUGGUUCUAUUUUGUUGGUUUCUAGGAUCACCGUAAUGAUUAAUAGGGAUAGUUGGGGGCAUUAGUAUUCAAUUGUCAGAGGUGAAAUUCUUGGACUUAUUGAAGACUAACUACUGCGAAAGCAUUUGCCAAGGAUGUUUUCAUUAAUCAAGAACGAAAGUUAGGGGAUCGAAGACGAUCAGAUACCGUCGUAGUCUUAACCAUAAACUAUGCCGACUAGGGAUCGGACGAAGUUAAUUUUUUAAUGACUCGUUCGGCACCUUACG